UCCGUCAUGGUGUAGUGGCUAGCAUUUCAGACUCUCAACCAAGACCUCUGAGAACCCGGGUUCAAUUCCCGGUGACGGAA